AUUCCUCAAUUUUAGGGAGAAUAAAUAAGCUAAGGAAGUCCAAAUAAUUUGAGAUCACGUACAUGCAAAGAAUCUCAUUUCUUAGGACUCUAUUAGGCAAGUUAAACGUUGUGCUCUUCAGAUUUUGUGAAAGAAGUUAUACUGCUAUUGAAGUUUGGAAAGAGUAUGGUGGAAUGCCUGAAUUUAACAUUCUCAGGAGUCUUGUUUGUCAAAAUCAUUUUCAAUCAAACAAGAAUUCUCUCUCUCUCUAAUUGUUAGAGAAAGG
rnacentral:lncRNA from 1 species